GCAGAGGGAACAGCAAGAGUCAAGUUCCUGAGGCAAGAAUACCCCAUGACUGUUCAAAACAGCAAGAACCCAGUGAGGAUGGAGCGUAGUGAGCAAGGAAGACAGAGGAGGGGGUUCUACUCUGCUUUCCUCGUGGAUGUCAUUCUGAGGCUCCCCAUGGUGGCAAGACGGUCUCAGCAGUAUCACUUUCAUGACCACUCAUUUGUAAAUCCUUUAAGAAAAGAGUGUGAGUCUCUCAGAAGUCUCAGCCAAAGACUCGCUGCAUCUAGUUGGCACUGUUUGGAUCACAAGGCCGUCACUGUGGGCAGGGAAAUCCUAUGAUUAGACUGAGGCCAUAUGCUCAACUCCCCAGCCCCAUCCUGAAUACAUGCGCUGAGAGUGCAAGAAUGUGGUGCCCCAGAGGAUGUCAGACUCUACUACCAGAAGAAUAAUUCCGGAGGGGAAAAUAAAAACACGCUCUCAC
rnacentral:lncRNA from 1 species